rnacentral:rRNA from 1 species
GCUAAGGAGUGUGUAACAGCUCACCUGCCCAAUCAGCUAACCCUGAAAAUAGAUGGAGCUGGAG